UUUGGUUACCAAUUGUUGAACACACCCAUUAGGUAUUCAAAAGAAUCAAUGGGUGAAAGUUUGGUGUUUUAUUGAAAGACUAGCAUCUAAACCUAUAACCAAACCUACCCACACUUGAUCUACUCAUAUUGAAGUUAAUCAUUAGCAUCCAUAUGUCACUUCCCUUAGUAAUACAUAAUCUCAAUAUCCGUGCUUAAUU
rnacentral:lncRNA from 1 species